AUAAACAGGUCGGUCAGCGCUAUAGAAUUGUUUCAGAUGUUUACAAGCUUUGCAUUUCGAGGAUACAAACAACGUAUUCGAUUGCGGCAUAUAGAUUAUGGAUGAAGAGGAAAACAAUCCUAAGUCAAAGUGCCUCCUCCGUUAUGUGCCAUGAUUUUCUCGAACACCUCGUGAAAGUCUACACGCUCGGACUCAGAAGUUUCUGUGAUCAAUAUCCUACGUUUGAAUCCGAUGUCACAAUACAAUAUCCAAGCGCCUGUUAUUGAAUCUACUGGCUGAGAAGAUCCAUUCACAAGCAUUACCCGAAGGUGGACCUUUUCUUAUGCACAUGAGGAUGUCAAUGCAUGAUUCAACAACGAGGCUGAACAACGGAGGAGGAAAUGAUGCCGAAACUUUCGAUGAUCCCAUUGAGCUACUACUUAAUGUCAAAAUGAUUAUUUAUGACAUUUGCACCCGAUGCAAAAUAGUAUGUGUGAUUUAAGAAAAUUUUCUCGUCCACUUCACUUAAAGAUUACAAACAACGAUUUGAUAGUGAAAACGUUCUACAUAGGGAUGGAUGACUCUCCUACUUGUAUCAAGAAACCCGAAGGAGGUAAACAAGCAUGGUUUAAGCGUCGCAAAAUUCGUUGCAUACGAGGAAUACCAAAACUUUUCCCAUUCAUCUUUAACGGCAUUUUUUAAAGAAAGAAUUUUAAUCCACUUGACUGAUUGGAAAUAGUCAAUAAGUUAUCAUAUUGAUUAUUAUAAAUCAUAUGUGAAAAAAUAAGCUAUAUAAGAACAGUAAAAAACAAUGCUGUGAAUGGUUAGAGACAUUUUUUUGCACAUGAGCAGGAAAUAUGUCAAAUUUUUUCUAAAUAGUCAACUUUUAAUGAAAAAUGAAAAAGAGAAUGUACGUGCAGACACAAUACAAAACGUGAUCAUUGAUGAUGAAAAAGUUAUAUGUAAACCCAUUGUUUAAAGCAAGCAAUAAAAUGUUUUACUACUAAGACUAAUUCAAAAAUAUUUCAUGAUAUUUCAAUAUAUAUAUUCUUUGAAAUUUCUUUCUACACGUAUUUCUUUUUUUUUUUUUGAUGGCAUUGUAAAUCCAAAGGCAAUUAUGAGUUAUGACGAUAUGUUGAUCUUUCUGGUGGAUUCACCAACUUUCUGAUCUUUUAUGUAAACUGAAUAUAGCAUUCAAUUUUGUGGGCCCACCAAUUAUGUAUUUAAUAGCAGCGAUAAACUAAUUGUUACCGGCCGGGAGUUUCUUUGGUGAAUCCACCAAUUUUGUAAUCUGUUUUUUUUUUAUAAUUCGAUUAACUUGAUAUCUUGUGGAUUCACCAAGUAGGGGUAAUUUAAAUUUUGUCAGUCAUUUUGGUGGCUUCACCAACUUUCUUGUUUUGUAUGUAAACUGACUUGUGUUGCGGUGUUUAUAUUUAUUUGUAAAAUUUCAUUUAGGUGGAUACACCAAAUAUAUGAAAUUCUGUCUGCAUUUUACAUUUUUGGUGAGUUCACCAAAUUUAAUCAGUAAAGUGUAAGACAAAACGAUUAUUGCAUAUUUGUAUUUAGGUGGAAUCGCCAAUUAAGGUUUCUUUAAAACUGAAAUGUUUGAUAAUAUGUGUUGCUAUUAUUGUUUUGUUGGUGGGUUCACCAAAUUUUUGAAUUAAAUACAAAACUGUAUUCGGACAAUUUCACAAUUGAUUUUUGGUGGAAUCACCAGGGCCCUUUGUGAAUAAGAUAUUUGAUGCUGUUUAAAAAAAUUGAAUCGCCAAUAUUUUAUCAUUGGUGGACCCACCAAGCUUAUUCGUAAGUGAGAUAUUCGAUGAAAUAAGUUGGUGGAGUCACCUAUAUUUUGACUGUUAUUGUGGAAUAUGAAGGAUUAAAGGUACUGUAAAAUGUGCUUUUGUGUGAAAAAGA